CUAGGUCUGAAAUCCUAUUUUCCUUAACGCUGUAAACAAAAUCCCAUUGUGCAUCAGCUGCUGUAGAGACCCUUCACCCAUGAAACAAACAGCUUCUGACUUUUCAAUCUCUAGUCUCUGUUAUUUUCUGCGAGUUCAUCGGACCGAUCCGUCAUUACCAAGUCCGGACUCGUCAAUAUCAGUUAUAUUCCAUCACUGUAGCGGUUUACCAGUUCUUUCACCGUGCGUGGUACCUCUUCCAUCCAAUAUGGUGGUUCAUCAUACUUCCGUCCUUCCAACACCAAUCUAUGUGCCGCUUUAUUGGCUUCUCUUGAGAUUAGUUUCCUAAUAACAGCAACAGCCUGUAAGCACGCCCUCGCCUCAGCCAUUGUUGGAUCUGAAAUAUUCUCCCAUGGGAAUUAAUCCAGUGUGGGCCCUCCUAGACGUCACCAAUUUGCAACUUACCAAUACAGGACAAACCUUAAAUCAGAUCCACAUGCAAAAGUUUGUAACCAAUCAAAGUGCCUGACCCAUUUACCAACCAAAUCAACAAACACAUAAUGAAAAUGUAUUUUAUUUGAUUCUAAAACUUUUAAGUUGUAAUAAAUUCAGGUUUACUGGUC